UCCUUCGGGGGGCAGCAGUGGGGGAUAUUGCACAAUGGGGGAAACCCUGAUGCAGCGACGCCGCGUGUGGGAAGACGGUCCUCUGGAUUGUAAACCACUGUCCCCAGGGACGAAGAUGACGGUACCUGAGGAGGAAGCUCCGGCUAACUACGUGCCAGCAGCCGCGGUAAUACGUAGGGGGCAAGCGUUAUCCGGAUUUACUGGGUGUAAAGGGAGCGUAGGCGGCAGUGCAAGUCAGAAGUGAAAGCCCGGGGCUCAACUCCGGGACUGCUUUUGAAACUGUACAGCUUGAUUGCAGGAGAGGC
rnacentral:rRNA from 1 species